rnacentral:rRNA from 1 species
UACGUAGGUGGCAAGCGUUGUCCGGAUUUACUGGGCGUAAAGAGCGCGCAGGCGGUCGUUUCAAGUCGCGGUGUGAAAAGCCCCCGGCUCAACUGGGGAGGGUCACGCGAUACUGAUCGACUCGAAGGCAGGAGAGGGUAGUGGAAUUCCCGGUGUAGUGGUGAAAUGCGUAGAUAUCGGGAGAACACCAGUGGCGAAGGC